rnacentral:rRNA from 1 species
AGAGUUUGAUCAUGGCUCAGGAUGAACGCUAGCUACAGGCUUAACACAUGCAAGUCGAGGGGAAACGACAUCGAAAGCUUGCUUUUGAUGGGCGUCGACCGGCGCACGGGUGAGUAACGCGUAUCCAACCUGCCCACCACUUGGGGAUAACCUUGCGAAAGUAAGACUAAUACCCAAUGACGUCUCUAGAAGACAUCUGAAAGAGAUUAAAGAUUUAUCGGUGAUGGAUGGGGAUGCGUCUGAUUAGCUUGUUGCGGGGUAACGCCACAAGGCGACGAUCAGUAGGGGUUCUGAGAGGAAGGUCCCCCACAUUGGAACUGAGACACGGUCAAACUCGGACGGAGGCA